rnacentral:rRNA from 1 species
UGGGGAAUAUUGCACAAUGGGCGGAAGCCUGAUGCAGCGACGCCGCGUGAGGGAUGACGGCCUUCGGGCUGUAAACCUCUUUCAGUAGGGACGAAGCGUAAGUGACGGUACCUGCAGAAGAAGCACCGGCUAACUACGUGCCAGCAGCCGCGGUAAUACGUAGGGUGCGAGCGUUGUCCGGAAUUACUGGGCGUAAAGAGCUCGUAGGCGGUUUGUCACGUCGUCUGUGAAAUCCUAGGGCUUAACCCUGGACGUGCAGGCGAUACGGGCUGACUUGAGUACUACAGGGGAGACUGGAAUUUCUGGUGUAGCGGUGGAAUGCACAGAUAUCAGGAAGAACACCGAUGGCGAAGGCAGGUCUCUGGGUAGUAACUGACGCUGAGGAGCGAAAGCAUGGGUAGCGAACAGG